rnacentral:rRNA from 1 species
AUACAGAGGUCCCAAGCGUUGUUCGGAUUCACUGGGCGUAAAGGGUGCGUAGGCGGUCGGGUAAGUCUGACGUGAAAUCCUGGAGCUUAACUCCGGAACUGCGUCGGAAACUAUUCGGCUAGAGGAUUGGAAGGGGGACUGGAAUUCUCGGUGUAGCAGUGAAAUGCGUAGAUAUCGAGAGGAACACCCGUGGCGAAGGCGAGUCCCUGGACAAUUCCUGACGCUGAGGCACGAAAGCUAGGGGAGC